UCAUUUUUGUUGCUCUCCUUGGACUCUCUCCAGUUUGUCCACAUCUUUCCUACAGUGUGGCACCCAGAAUUGGACACAGUACUCCAGCUGAGGUCUCACCAGUUCCAAGUAAGGUGGGACAACUACUUCCUGUGUCUUACAUACAACAAUCCUGUUAACACACCCGGGAAUAUUAGUGUUUUUUUGCAAUUUCAUCACAUGUUGACUCAUUCAAUUUGCCAUCACGAUAACCCCUGGAUCCUUUUCAGUAGUAAUGCCACCAGUUUUGUGAUGGUAGUACAGCUGAAAAAGAUCUGGAGGUUACAGUGGAUCACAAAUUUGAAUAUGAGCCAACAAUGUGGUGAUAUCCAAUUACACACAAGUGACUCAUGGGGAAGUUUGGCACAGGACCUGCACCUCAUAAAAGAACUCCUGGGGCAGUAAGGAGGCAAGGAGAUACCUGGUGGUUCCCAAACUUCCCAUCAAUGCUGCAGUUGCCAGGUGGAGAAGGAAGCCUGUCUACAGCAAUGGCAGAGUGCCAGUGGGGAGGGCAUUGAGGGGAGUGUUGUCUUAAGUUCACAUGACUUGGAUAAACAUUCCAUUGCUUGGAUGCUUAUGUAAACCAGAACCCUCAAGAGGUUCAGAGUUUAUCCCUCUCUGUGGUUUAUCUGGACUCAUUUCCGAGCACCAAAUUUCCUUUGUACAACUGACUUUUUUUUUAAGGAUUUAAAAUGAAGGAACACGGUAAGACUGCUCCAGAUGUAAGCCAUGGAAAAGUUGGAUGUUGGAGAUAGAACAGAGAUCCAAAACAUGGCGCCACAGAAGCUGCUUUCCUAUUUUAGGUAUUUUUCCUUUCUGAAAUACCUAUGCUUCCUUGGCUAAAACGUGACAAAAUUGGGUUGACCCAUAAAUAUUUGUGUGCAGAGCAAAUAAGUUUGGUUAGCUGCAGUUUUCCCAAGGAUUCCUGUAUGUUGUCUGUUUGACUUGUGACACCCAGUAAUACUGUAUGCCAUGAGCAGAGCUGAGUAAAUAAUCCACAAAAAAUGCAGCUAGCUGGAAAAUUUCUUUCAUGAUACCUUCUAAGCAAAAAUGAAACUCAAAUUUUGUUGGAUGCAACUUGACAGCUGGCCCGAGAAGAGGAGAAGCACUUGGAUUAAAUGUACAAGGAUUGGCAAAGAAGCAAGGAGUUUUGAGACACAAAGAGUCAGGAAUAACCCAAAUAAAAUCCCUAUCCUUAACACAAAUAGAGAGUCUGGGUUUUACUGUGUCUCUGACAUGAAAUGCCUGAUGAUCUGGAAUCCCUGAUUUUAGUCACAACAAAGUGUUGUCUGUAGAAAUUAUUAGCUUGUUCUGUUUUGUUGUAGUCUAUUAGUGAAAUGUAUAGCACCCUCUAGGCACAAAUCGCUGUCCUCACUUUGAUAAUAAAACAUUACAACUGAAACUUCAAAGGUGUUAGGCAAGUAUCCAGCAUUUGGUCCACCUUUUCAUUAGGAACAAUCUCUUUACCAACUUUCCCUACCCCUACUUGCGAUGGCCCAGAUUUUUAAAGGUAGUUGGUGUUGCUGUACUCAGCAUCACAAUGCCUAACUGAUUUAAGAGCCUAAAUCUCAUUUUAAAAAGGGAUUUAGGAGCCAAAAUCCCACUGACAGUGAGCACAGCAAUGCCUAAAUACCUUUAAAAAAAACUUAUGAGAUAAGCUUUCCCCACCCUGCAUUGCAUCACUAAUUAAAGCUAAAUACAUCCCAUACUGCUGCUUAGAUUGACCUAAUUUGUGCUUGGGACACUCAGUCAGGAAAGUCAGUUAGUGAAGAAUAAGAUACUGUGUGUGGCUGUAAACAACUCAAUACAACAAAUAUAGCUAGGGAGUGAUUUUUGUUGUAUUAUUUUUUAUUCUGAAGGUACACAAUAUGUAAAAUGUAACACAAUAUGUAAAAUAUGUAAAAAUGAUGCCUAACUGUUGUUAAUCUUACAAUAACUGCUUCCUGAGGAAAAUCAAAAAUCAGGUUUAUGUAUAUACAUACUUUCGGACUUACUGUGUGUGUAGUGGGAUAUCUGUGGGGGUGGAGGGAAACUAAAUAACUUCCUAUCUUUCAGCUACAGUACAGCAUCACUUUACAAUUUACCCUGAGCAAGGGGGAGUAUGUUGUUUUUCUACCACAAAAGCAGUCUCCAAAAUAGAUUGGGACACUUAAUCUCAUUCUGCUUCCCAGUCCCCAGCUUACUCCAGGGAGCAAGUGAACUGUGUUGGGACUUUGCUUAGUACAGUAUGUGUCAUCCAGGGCUAAUGACUAAGGCUAUGAUUUAGUCACAGAGGUUGCAGAAGUCAAAGAAACUGUGACUUCCAGCAACCUCCGUGACUUCAGCCUGCGAUGGUUGGGAGCUGCAGGGUCCCCUGCCAUCCAGGAAGGCAGGGAGCUGCAGGGUACCCGCGCCACCUCUGGUGGCCCCCAGAGCUCCAGACCACUAUGGGCAACUAGUCCCUGCGCACCUUCCCUGUUUCAGGUGGGUGUGGGAACCCACAGAUCCUCAUUUUGUCACCGGUAUUUUCAGUAAAAGUCACGGACAGGUUUCGGCUUCCAUGAAUUUUUUUUUUUUUUUUUUUUGCCCGUGACCUAUCUGUGACUUUUAUUGAAACUAUCCAUGACAAACUCUUAGCCUUACUAAUGACAAUCUAAUUCUGUGGAAAUCAAGGCCCUGAUCUCUGCACCCACACAGAACACCACUGAAGUCUAGCAUGUGCAGAUCCAAUUACAUGAUUGCAACCGAAAUUUCAACUAUAUUACUUGCACAUUACACUAUACUAUAUGCAUCUUUAUCACCUCCAGAUCGGAUUUAUGGCAAUACACCAUCCACGGGGCUAUAUCUGAAGAUCAUUGGAAACUUCAGUUAGAGCAGAAUGUGGUAGCCAACUUUCCUAGUGCUGUUCACAUGAAGCAUAUUACACCUGUGCUCUGUAGAGUCUGCUAGCUUCCAGUUUGAUCCUGGCACUGCUCAAGCUAUUUUUAACCUGUAAAGCCUUUUAUCGUAAAACUUAUGUUCUUUGUUAGAUUCAGCUGCCAGGUUAAAACAUAAGGGGCGGGGGGAGGGGGAAAUUGUGCCUAAAUGGAAAGUAAAUAUCAGUUGGCAAACAAACCUUGAAAUUGUCAACCUUCAAGGUAUGCUGCAAAACCCUGUCUAUGUGCAUUUUUGUGGAGGGUCUCAAUUUUUUUUAGGAUUGUAGGUAGGGCUGUCGAUUAAUCAGUUAACUCAUGUGAUAAACUAAAAAAAAAUUAAUCGUGAUUAAAAC